AUACUUACCUGGACAAGGUCAAUGGUUGAUCAAAAAGAGCCAUGACCUAGACUAGUGACCUCCAUUGCACUAUUGGAGGGGUGCUAGCCUAAGGUCUCCCUAAAUGGGAGAGCCUAUAUCAUAAUUUGUGGCAGAGAAGGCUGCGCGAGCUUGAGUUCAAG
rfam:Ipomoea nil DNA, scaffold: scaffold0480, cultivar: Tokyo-kokei standard.